rnacentral:rRNA from 1 species
GGCGGCGUGCUUAACACAUGCAAGUCGAACGGAAAGGCCCUUCGGGGUACUCGAGUGGCGAACGGGUGAGUAACACGUGGGUGAUCUGCCCUGCACUUCGGGAUAAGCCUGGGAAACUGGGUCUAAUACCGGAUAUGAUCAUUGGCUUCAUGGCUGGUGGUGGAAAGCUUUUGCGGUGUGGGAUGGGCCCGCGGCCUAUCAGCUUGUUGGUGGGGUAAUGGCCUACCAAGGCGACGACGGGUAGCCGGCCUGAGAGGGUGACCGGCCACACUGGGACUGAGAUACGGCCCAGACUCCUACGGGAGGCAGCAGUGGGGAAUAUUGCACAAUGGGCGCAAGCCUGAUGCAGCGACGCCGCGUGAGGGACGACGGCCUUCGGGUUGUAAACCUCUUUCAGCACAGACGAAGCGCAAGUGACGGUAUGUGCAGAAGAAGGACCGGCCAACUACGUGCCAGCAGCCGCGGUAAUACGUAGGGUCCGAGCGUUGUCCGGAAUUACUGGGCGUAAAGAGCUCGUAGGUGGUUUGUCGCGUUGUUCGUGAAAACUCACAGCUUAACUGUGGGCGUGCGGGCGAUACGGGCAGACUGGAGUACUGCAGGGGAGACUGGAAUUCCUGGUGUAGCGGUGGAAUGCGCAGAUAUCAGGAGGAACACCGGUGGCGAAGGCGGGUCUCUGGGCAGUAACUGACGCUGAGGAGCGAAAGCGUGGGGAGCGAACAGGAUUAGAUACCCUGGUAGUCCACGCCGUAAACGGUGGGUACUAGGUGUGGGUUUCCUUCCUUGGGAUCCGUGCCGUAGCUAACGCAUUAAGUACCCC